rnacentral:rRNA from 1 species
AUUGAACGCUGGCGGCAGGCCUAACACAUGCAAGUCGCGCGGAUGAUGGGAGCUUGCGCCUGGAUUCAGCGGCGGACGCGUGAGUAAUGCCUAGGAAUCUGCCUGGUAGUGGGGGACAACGUUUCGAAAGGCACGCUAAUACCGCAUACGUCCUACGGGAGAAGCAGGGGACCUUCGGGCCCUGCGCUAGCAGAUGAGACUAGGUCGGAUUAGCUAGUGGGUGAGGUAAAGGCUCUCCUAUGCGACGAUCCGUAACUGGGCUGAGCGGAUGAUCAGUCACACUGGAACUGAGACACGGUCCAGACUCCUACGGGAGGCAGCAGUGUGGAAUAUUUGGCAAUGGGCGAAAGCCUGAUCCAGCCAUGCCGCGUGUGUGAAGAAGGUCUUCGGAUUGUAAAGCACUUUAAGUUGGGAGGAAGGGCAGUAAGUUAAUACCUUGCUGUUUUGACGUUACCGACAGAAUAAGCACCGGCUAACUUCGUGCCAGCCGCCGCCGUAAGAC